CCCUAGUAAUGGUGCCUCUCUGGAGACAUAAAUGAGAUGCCCCUCCCCUCUCCAGUCAGGCCUCAGAUGUCAGCCACAAAGGACUUUUCCAUAGCCUGGAGAACUAAAGUGUAUCCUAGAAUGAUACAAUACAGAGUAGGAUCAUUUGCUGGGAAAUAUAGCAACUCAGAGUGGGGAACAACACCCUGGUGAGGCUGGAGUCUUUACAGGCAAAGUUGGGUUGACAUAUCAAUUACAUUGAGAAGAGAGGGAGGCCCUCUGCUUAUUCAGAACCAUUUGGACUGGACUGGACAGGUCACGAGGAGCCACAGAGGGCUUUGAGCCACACAAUGGCUGGUUGGAGCUGUACUUUGGAAGAAUGAAGCAAGAGCAGAUUGAGGGAGGGACUGAGAAGCAAAGAGACAGUUAGCUCAAAACCGCCAUAGAACCAAAGAUGGAAGGGACCAGGUGCCGAGACAACCCUAGAGAGGAAGAUGCAGGUGAACAGGGUGCGUACUGUGGGCUCUGUGAGCAUGGCUCACAGGAAAGAAUGAAGUCAGGCGGGGGUGGGGUUGGGGGGACGAGACUGAGUCCUGGUCCACUAGGGAGCGGUGCUGCCCUUCUAAGGGCUCAAGAAAACAGAGAGAAGGAAGUUAGGGAGAUUAGAGUUUGUGACCCUGAGCUAGCAGAUGCUGAACUGGCUUCCAGGAUGGAAGAUAAGGCUGGCAGAUCCUUGUGGGACACUGAAGGACAGAAAGAAUGGAGGAGAGUCACCGGAAGGUUGUGAGGAACUGAGUAGUGAUGCACAGAAGUCAGAUCGUGAGGAAAGUUGGUGGGGAAGGCCAUGGAGGAGAAGGUAAGAGGUGAAGGAUAGAGGCUCACAAAGAUUCAGUCAAGAAUCACCCACUCAGGCCUUGCAUGACAACUCAUCUCCAGUGGAAAGGAUGUCAAGGGGCUGAUGAUAGAAAAGGCGAUUGGUUAGGCACACCGCUGUCCUGUAACCUGCUGAUUCCUCCCAUUGCCUUGGUACAAGCGGGGAACUGGCAACUCUGCCAGGGAUCCUUCCCCCUUCAGGUGAGGAGCAUGGCAAGAAGGCGGCUUGCUUUCAGAUUCCAGAAUACUAAGUACCGACUUGAAGGGAAGUUAACAUCAGAAGGGACCUGGGAAAGGGAGAGGAGGGGCAACUAUUAUGAGUUUGGUUAAGUGGCCUGGAAAGAUAUCUGCUAGAAGACCCAUUUAAGGAAAAGACAUUCUGGACCCAAGGAGAGGAGAGCCAUUGGGAACACUCUUAAGGGAAAGCCAUGCUCGCUGACCUGCAGGGUUGCUGCCCUGUCUCCAGCUACCAUGCUGAGACUGGAUUGUGAAGGUGAAGUGGAAGUGGGGAUCAAGCCAAGAGGCUGCCAGAUGCCAGAGUGAGAGAUGACGACGAUGAUGGUGGUGAUGAUGGUGAUGUGACAGACAGGAGGGUUAUGGGGGACUGAACUCAAGUCUUCAUGCUGGUGUAGAAGACAGAUGACCGGCUGAGCUCUUUGCGCUGAUGUGGAAUCCCUUGAGGGGAGACGUGAAGAAAGGAUGGCUGAUGGUAUGAGAAGAGAGGAUAUGUAGGCGAGUCUUGGAGGAAAGGAGGAGUCAGAGUGAACAUGGUGAGUAUGGGGGCUGCUUGGGAGUAUCAGGGAUUCACGCGCAGUUGGAAAACAUGCGCUUUUAUUCUACGGGAUGACACUGCUGUGUCAACAAUUUCCAUAGGCAAAUGCCUUGGCCC
rnacentral:lncRNA from 1 species